GACAAUAUAGCUCAGAGGUAGAGCACUUGCAUAGCAUGCAUGAGGCCCUAGGGGUUUGAUCCCUAGCAUAGCCA
rnacentral:tRNA from 1 species